UACGAAGGGGGCUAGCGUUUUUCGGAAUUACUGGGCGUAAAGCGCACGUAGGCGGGUCGUUAAGUCAGGGGUGAAAUCCCGGAGCUCAACUCCGGAACUGCCUUUGAUACUGGCGAUCUAGAGAUCGAGAGAGGUGAGUGGAAUUCCGAGUGUAGAGGUGAAAUUCGUAGAUAUUCGGAAGAACACCAGUGGCGAAGGCGGCUCACUGGCUCGAUACUGACGCUGAGGUGCGAAAGCGUGGGGAGCAAACAGG
rnacentral:rRNA from 1 species